AACGAACGCUGGCGGCAGGCUUAACACAUGCAAGUCGAACGGGUGUAGCAAUACAUCAGUGGCAGACGGGUGAGUAACACGUGGGAACCUUCCUAGGGGUACGGAAGAACUCAGGGAAACUUGAGCUAAUACCGUAUACGUCCGUGAGGAGAAAGAUUUAUCGCCCUUAGACGGGCCCGUGACGGAUUAGCUAGUUGGUGGGGUAACGGCCUACCAAGGCGACGAUCCGUAGCUGAUCUUAGAGGAUGAUCAGCCACACUGGGACUGAGACACGGACGAGACUCCUACGGGAGGCAGCAGUGGGGAAUCUUGGACAAUGGGCGCAAGCCUGAUCCAGCCAUGCCGCGUGAGUGAAGAAGGUCUUCGGAUUGUAAAGCUCUUUUGCCAGGGACGAUAAUGACGGUACCUGGAGAAUAAGCCCCGGCAAACUUCGUGCCAGCCGCCGCAGUAAUAC
rnacentral:rRNA from 1 species